GCCAGGCGAGGUGGCGCGUGCCUGUAGUCCCAGCUACUCAGGAGGCUGAGGUGGAAGGAUCGCUUAAGCCCAGGAGUUCUGGGCUGUAAUGCGCUAUGCCCAUCGGGUGUCCACACUAAGUUCAGCAUCAAUAUGGUGACCUCCUGGGAGCGGGGGACCACCAGGUUGCCUAAGGAGGGGUCAACCGGCCCAGGUCAGAAACGGAGCAGGUCAAAACUCCCGUGCUGAUCAGUAGUGGGAUCGCGCCUGUGAAUAGCCACUGCACUCCAGCCUGGGCAACAUAGGGAGAUCCCGUCUCA
ensembl:misc_RNA Metazoa_SRP Metazoan signal recognition particle RNA